rnacentral:rRNA from 1 species
UACGUAGGGGGCAAGCGUUGUCCGGAUUUAUUGGGCGUAAAGCGCGUGUAGGCGGCCAGAUAGGUCCUCUGUGAAAACCCGAGGCUCAACCUCGGGACGUCGGCGGAAACCAUCUGGCUAGAGUCCGGAAGAGGAGAGUGGAAUUCCCGGUCGUAGCGGUGAAAUGCGCAGAUAUCGGGAAGAACACCCGUGGCGAAGGCGGCUCUCUGGGACGGUACUGACGCUGAGACGCGAAAGCGUGG